GAUGAACGCUGGCGGCGUGCCUAAUACAUGCAAGUCGAGCGAACGGACGAGAAGCUUGCUUCUCUGAUGUUAGCGGCGGACGGGUGAGUAACACGUGGAUAACCUACCUAUAAGACUGGGAUAACUUCGGGAAACCGGAGCUAAUACCGGAUAAUAUUUUGAACCGCAUGGUUCAAAAGUGAAAGACGGUCUUGCUGUCACUUAUAGAUGGAUCCGCGCUGCAUUAGCUAGUUGGUAAGGUAACGGCUUACCAAGGCAACGAUGCAUAGCCGACCUGAGAGGGUGUGCGGCCACACUGGAACUGAGACACGGUCCAGACUCCUACGGGAGGCAGCAGUAGGGAAUCUUCCGCAAUGGGCGAAAGCCUGACGGAGCAACGCCGCGUGAGUGAUGAAGGUCUUCGGAUCGUAAAACUCUGUUAUUAGGGAAGAACAUAUGUGUAAGUAACUGUGCACAUCUUGACGGUACCUAAUCAGAAAGCCACGGCUAACUACGUG
rnacentral:rRNA from 1 species